rnacentral:rRNA from 1 species
AACGAACGCUGGCGGCAUGCCUAACACAUGCAAGUCGAACGAGACCUUCGGGUCUAGUGGCGCACGGGUGCGUAACGCGUGGGAAUCUACCCUCAGGUUCGGAAUAACUCAGAGAAAUUUGAGCUAAUACCGGAUGAUGACGUAAGUCCAAAGAUUUAUCGCCUGAGGAUGAGCCCGCUUAGGAUUAGGUAGUUGGUGAGGUAAAGGCUCACCAAGCCGACGAUCCUUAGCUGGUCUGAGAGGAUGAUCAGCCACACUGGGACUGAGACACGGCCCAGACUCCUACGGGAGGCAGCAGUGGGGAAUAUUGGACAAUGGGCGAAAGCCUGAUCCAGCAAUGCCGCGUGAGUGAUGAAGGCCUUAGGGUUGUAAAGCUCUUUUACCCGGGAUGAUAAUGACAGUACCGGGAGAAUAAGCUCCGGCUAACUCUGUG